AGAAGGAAUAUCUAGUUAGUAAAUUCAUGUAUGUAACAAAUGUCUUUUCGUGUGAUUCAGGUGGAUGUAGGGGAUACUCUGGGCGGGGAGAGAGACCCAAACCCAAACCGUGACCUCCAGCUUCAGAAAGCAUCCAAUCAGAGAACUGUGACUAAAAAUCGUGACUGUGAAAAGGGCUAUCGAAGACGGUGCGUGUGUGUUGACAGUGUAAAGGCGGACGUGACCUAGUCCACAGUGGGAGAAGGGCUGGUAAGAGGGCUGCCCUAACAACCCCUUCUACUCACCGUUCUUUUCUCUUUUUGUCAGAAUGAGGGCAUCCCGGGCUCCCAGGCUGUUUUGCUGCCCCUUUUCAGUCCGCUGUGUGGCCUUGGCCCUCAUUUUUUUUUUUUUUUUUUUUUUUAUGUAAACAUGAAAGGCUGUUCCGUAGUCCCUUCCAACUGCAACGUUCUUCUUUCUUUUCUUCCAUCUUAAGGGGGACAUACGCGGUCACUGCCAGCAGCGUCGUCUCGUCCAUCUGUCCAUCUUUUCAACACGAUUGUUGAGCAACUAUUACAGGCCAGGCACUGUGCUGGGGGAAGGACACACACAGUGACCUAUGAAACAUCAUGCUGCUUGCCCUCAUGAGCGUGUUCAGGCCUUGAGGGCCAGUCUGGGUUCAUAGAGCCCUUCCCUUCUCUCUUUAGCCAAAUGGAUACAUUUAGAAUUUAAUUGUUGUGGACCCAGCAAAACUGGGAACUCCUGGCCUAUACCCUGCAGGGCCCAGGACAAUAGUCUGUGUCUUUCAGGUACUUAACACACUCUUGGUGAAUCGCUGCUUCUUCAGUGUUGAUAACCUUGCUCGCCUUAGGAGCAUAUGCCCUGAAACGCACAGAUGGGACCAGGGACCACUCUUUCAACGUGGUUCUACGCAUGUGAAAGUUUCAGAAGCUUUUUAUAUAAGCCGGUGUGUUAUUGUUCUUCUGUGUUCCUGAAGGAAACAGUAAGUCAAUACAUCAAGGUCCAGUUUCCAGCCCCUUCUCUUCUUGAAAGCUUCCAUGUUGAGUCACUUUUGAAGAGGACCUCGGCACAUUGUAAAAUUCCAUCUCUUUGUCUUUUCAAUAAAAGCCACCUGUGUGUCAGGCCCGAGGACUUUACAGCGAAUUAAUUACAGACAUACUUUCCUGUUGCAAAUGGAACAACUUAACAUGAUCUUAAUCACUGAGUUUAUUAAUCGGUCCCCACUCCUUUUGACUGACAUCCAUGCUCAGAUUUUAUUUUUCAUAGCAUAUUAGGUUAACAAGUGGACUCAGC
rnacentral:lncRNA from 1 species